rnacentral:rRNA from 1 species
CCUACGGGAGGCAGCAGUAGGGAAUCUUCCGCAAUGGACGAAAGUCUGACGGAGAAACGCCGCGUGAGUGAUGAAGGUUUUCGGAUCGUAAAGCUCUGUUGUUAGGGAAGAACAAGUGCCGUUCAAAUAGGGCGGCACCUUGACGGUACCUAACCAGAAAGCCACGGCUAACUACGUGCCAGCAGUCCCGGUAAUACGUAGGUGGCAAGCGUUGUCCGGAAUUAUUGGGCGUAAAGGGCUCGCAGGCGGUUUCUUAAGUCUGAUGUGAAAGCCCCCGGCUCAACCGGGGAGAGUCAUUGGAAACUGGGGAACUUGAGUGCCGAAGAGGAGAGUGGAAUUCCACGUGUAGCGGUGAAAUGCGUAGAGAUGUGGAGGAACACCAGUGGCGAAGGCGACUCUCUGGUCUGUAACUGCCGCUGAGGAGCGAAAGCGUGGGGAGCGAACAGGAUUAGAUACCCUGGUAGUCCACGCCGUAAACGAUGAGUGCUAAGUGUUAGGGGGUUUCCGCCCCUUAGUGCUGCAGCUAACGCAUUAAGCACUCCGCCUGGGGAGUACGGUCGCAAGACUGAAACUUAAAGGAAUUGACGG